UACGGAGGGUGCGAGCGUUGUCCGGAAUCACUGGGCGUAAAGGGCGCGUAGGCGGUUCGUUAAGUCGCUGGUGAAAUUCCGGGGCUCAACUCCGGGGCGGCCGGCGAGACUGGCGAGCUCGGGCACGGUAGAGGCAGAUGGAAUUCCCGGUGUAGCGGUGGAAUGCGUAGAUAUCGGGAAGAACACCUGUGGCGAAGGCGUUCUGCUGGGCCGUUGCUGACGCUGAGGCGCGACAGCGUGGGGAGCAAACAGGAUUAGAUACCCCAGUAGU
rnacentral:rRNA from 1 species